rnacentral:tRNA from 1 species
CAAAUUAAAAUAUUGAUUUUAUUUACAAUAAAGUAUUAGUUGUUAGUUCAACUUAAUUUGA